CCAGACUCCUACGGGAGGCAGCAGUGGGGAAUAUUGCACAAUGGGGGAAACCCUGAUGCAGCGACGCCGCGUGAGCGAUGAAGUAUUUCGGUAUGUAAAGCUCUAUCAGCAGGGAAGAAAAUGACGGUACCUGACUAAGAAGCCCCGGCUAACUACGUGCCAGCAGCCGCGGUAAUACGUAGGGGGCAAGCGUUAUCCGGAUUUACUGGGUGUAAAGGGAGCGUAGACGGCGGUGCAAGCCAGAUGUGAAAGCCCGGGGCUCAACCCCGGGACUGCAUUUGGAACUGUGCUGCUAGAGUGUCGGAGAGGCAGGCGGAAUUCCUGGUGUAGCGGUGAAAUGCGUAGAUAUCAGGAGGAACACCGGUGGCGAAGGCGGCCUGCUGGACUGCGACUGACGUUGAGGCCCGAAAGCGUGGGGAGCAAACAGGAUUAGAUACCCCCGUA
rnacentral:rRNA from 1 species